rnacentral:rRNA from 1 species
AGUGAACGCUGGCGGUAGGCCUAACACAUGCAAGUCGAACGGCAGCACAGUAAGAGCUUGCUCUUACGGGUGGCGAGUGGCGGACGGAUGAGGAAUACAUCGGAAUCUACUUUUUCCUGGGGGAUAACGUAGGGAAACUUACGCUAAUACCGCAUACGACCUACGGGUGAAAGCAGGGGAUCUUCGGACCUUGCGCGAUUGAAUGAGCCGAUGUCGGAUUAGCUAGUUGGCGGGGUAAAGGCCCACCAAGGCGACGAUCCGUAGCUGGUCUGAGAGGAUGAUCAGCCACACUGGAACUGAGACACGGUCCAGACUCCUACGGGAGGCAGCAGUGGGGAAUAUUGGACAAUGGGCGCAAGCCUGAUCCAGCCAUACCGCGUGGGUGAAGAAGGCCUUCGGGUUGUAAAGCCCUUUUGUUGGGAAAGAAAAGCAGCAGGUUAAUACCCCGCUGUUCUGACGGUACCCAAAGAAUAAGCACCGGCUAACUUCGUG